UGCAGUCGAGCGAUGAAGCUCCUUCGGGAGUGAAUUACGGCGGACGGGUGAGUAACACGUGGGUAACCUGCCUCAUAGAGGGGAAUAGCCUUCCGAAAGGGAGAUUAAUACCGCAUAACAUAGCACUACCGCAUGGUAGAGUUAUCAAAGGAGCAAUCCGCUAUGAGAUGGACCCGCGGCGCAUUAGCUAGUUGGUGAGGUAACGGCUCACCAAGGCGACAAUGCGUAGCCGACCUGAGAGGGUGAUCGGCCACAUUGGAACUGAGACACGGUCCAGACUCCUACGGGAGGCAGCAGUGGGGAAUAUUGCGCAAUGGGGGAAACCCUGACGCAGCAACGCCGCGUGAGUGAAGAAGGCCUUAUGGUUGUAAAGCUCUGUCAUAUGGGAAGAUAAUGACGGUACCAUAAGAGGAAGCCACGGCUAACUACGUGCCAGCAGCCGCGGUAAUACAUAGGUGGCGAGCGUUGUCCGGAUUUACUGGGCGUAAAGGAUGCGUAGGCGGAUAUUUAAGUGGGAUGUGAAAUCCCCGAGCUUAACUCGGGGGCUGCAUUCCAAACUGGAUAUCUAGAGUGUCGGAGGGGAAAGUGGAAUUCCUAGUGUAGCGGUGAAAUGCGUAGAGAUUAGGAAGAACACCAGUGGCGAAGGCGACUUUCUGGACGAUAACUGACGCUGAGGCCUGAAAGCGUGGGGAGCAAACAGGAUUAGAUACCCUGGUAGUCCACACCGGAAGACGAUGAAUACUAGGUGUACGAGGUGUCGACUCCCUUCUUUUCGCACUUACAACAUUAAGUUUUCCCCCCGCCGAGUGCGAUCAGAA
rnacentral:rRNA from 1 species